AUUGGGAGCAUUAAUAAAAUAACCAAGUAAACAGAAUUUAUCGAGCCAACGAAAACAAAUCUGUUUCAAGUUCAAAAUUUUACGCGGAGUUUAAAAAGCAAAAGAAAGGCAAAAUGAGUCGAGCUUGCUUCCUUUUGGCGGUUCUGCUUUGCGGGUUCCUAGCUUUCUGUUCGCCACAAGGUAUCACAGAAAAUCCCUACAACCGAAAUUGUUACAGAAAUAUAUAUUGUUUAGUUGACGAUACUUAAGGAAGUUGUACAGCCCACAAAUAAAAGGACUACGAGCACCACCUUGGACGCAUUGCAGUCCUUAACUCAACUUUUCUUCAGCAUUUUUGAUGGCCUUAGCUGGGGCUAGUUUCAACAAGACGUGUUCCUUAAGACGUGUUCCUCGAACAGAGCCCAAUGGUUAAAGCUCAUUGUUGAUGUCUCUAAUCCUUUUUUUUUCUUAUCUAUAGGCAUAUAUUUUUUUUACUUUAAUCCUAUAAAUUUGUGAUCGUUGUAUUAUUUGAAUGGGUAUUGGUUUUUUUCCGGA